rnacentral:rRNA from 1 species
GUGGAUUAGAUACCCUGGUAGUCCACGCCCUAAACGAUGAUUACUCGACAUUAGCGAUAUUACAGUUAGUGUCUAAGCGAAAGCAUUAAGUAAUCCACCUGGGAAGUACGACCGCAAGGUUGAAACUCAAAGGAAUUGGCGGGGGUCCGCACAAGUGGUGGAGCAUGUGGUUUAAUUCGAUGAUACGCGAGGAACCUUACCUGGGCUAGAAUGCUGGGAGACCGCAGGUGAAAGCCUGUUUUGUAGCAAUACACUGCCAGUAAGGUGCUGCACGGUUGUCGACAGCU